GUCAAAGGUGAAGUUCACUGGGCUGAUACCGCGGAUGUGGUGGUGGGUUCCGACGUGAACUGAAGCCCAGGCUAUCCUUGGACUGAGCUGCACCGUGCUGCCCCACGCUUUCUGGCAGAGAAGAGCGCUGGUGUCCCAGGCUCCACCUUGGAAGGGCAGGGGAACAAACCUGAACACCCACAUCCUGGUCAAAGCCUGUCAAUUUUACAGAGGGAACAGUGAGGCUUGACGGGCUGAGCCUGUCUCCUGAAUGA